CAGUCGCCGCGGGAAUACAGAGGGUGCAAGCGUUAAUCGGAAUUACUGGGCGUAAAGCGCGCGUAGGUGGUUUGUUAAGUUGGAUGUGAAAGCCCCGGGCUCAACCUGGGAACUGCAUCCAAAACUGGCAAGCUAGAGUACGGUAGAGGGUGGUGGAAUUUCCUGUGUAGCGGUGAAAUGCGUAGAUAUAGGAAGGAACACCAGUGGCGAAGGCGACCACCUGGACUGAUACUGACACUGAGGUGCGAAAGCGUUGGGAGCAAACAGGAUUAGAUACCCCCGUAGUCCCUGUCUCUUAUAC
rnacentral:rRNA from 1 species